rnacentral:lncRNA from 1 species
GCAGAAGAUGCUACAUGAUUACAGCUGCACCCAAAAGAGAUUUUCAGGUCAAGACAGGACUGAUAGAAAGACUGAGGGGGUGAAACAGUGAAGGCAGAGUGAGAUAAAAAGAGAAGCUGCAGAAGACUCCUAACAGUAAAGAAGACCAUCAAACAUCGACCAUGCCUUCCUCCUCCUCCUCCUCCUCCUCCUCCUCCUCCUCCUCCUCCUCCUGCAGACAGCUCCCUGAGGCCUUGGGGCAUUUGGAAGCAACCAGCAGCUUCAUAUCCUCCUCUUGUUUCUCAUCUUCCUCCCUGCGUCUCCCUCCUCCUCGGGUCCGUCGCCCCCGCCGGGUCCUGUACCCAGCUUCUCAGAGCAGGAAGCCAACCAUCAGGGAGGCCCCGGACCAGGCCUGCCGCUGGCUGCUGCUCCUCUGUGCUCUUGUCUUCCUGCAGAUCUACACUGAGGAGACACACACCUGCACAGAGGUCCAGGGUCAGUGUCCAGACACGGCAGCGUCUCAGCCCCAGGAGGGAGAGGGGAGCCUGGGCACAGUGCAGGGAUGGGCAGGAGAGGAGCCCUGGAGGGUCCAAAUGGUCGGUGGAGUUUCAGAGACUCAGCUGGAAUGUGUCGUGGCGUGAAAGAGGAGCAAGUCAUUUCAAUUACUUGUGUCCCCAAAGAAUCUGAAUCUCAAAGGUCUUCUUCUUAAAAACUUUGAGGCCAUGCUGAUGUUUGAGUGAAGUUACUCCCUGGAGGACAAAAAACUUAAAGUGCAGCGACGGGUUCAGCUGAUAUGCUGACGACGAUGUGCUAUCUCUUUGUAAAAGACUGAAUAUAAAUUGAUCAAAAUAAUUCUGCAAAACUGCCAACAAAAAAAGGUUUUGGAUGUUAACUGUUUAAUAUUAUUUGUAAAUUGUAAAGAUUGUAAUAAAUCAGUAUUUAAGUGUGUGUGUGUGUGUGUGUGUGUGUGUGUGUGUGUGUGUGUGUGUGUGUGUGUGUGUGUGUGUGUGUGUGUGUGUGUGUGUGUGUGCAGAGGUGGUUGAAAGUACAUUUUCAAGUACAAUUUUGAGAAACAUAGUUUACAUGAUUAUUUCCAUCUGCUUCAUUCGUCCAUCUGCUUCAUUCGUCUACUUAACACAAUAUAUAUCAGUUU